rnacentral:rRNA from 1 species
UACGUAGGGUGCGAGCGUUGUCCGGAAUUCUUGGGCGUAAAGAGCUUGUAGGCGGUUUGUCGCGUCUGCUGUGAAAAUCCGGGGCUCAACCCCGGACUUGCAGUGGGUACGGGCAGACUAGAGUGUGGUAGGGGAGACUGGAAUUCCUGGUGUAGCGGUGAAAUGCGCAGAUAUCAGGAGGAACACCGAUGGCGAAGGCAGGUCUCUGGGCCACUACUGACGCUGAGAAGCGAAAGCGUGGGGAGCGAACAGG